rnacentral:piRNA from 1 species
UCUGAUGCAAUUUUAUGCAAU